rnacentral:lncRNA from 1 species
CUCUGUCUUUGAAACAACCAUUUGUAGAACCCAGCCACCAAACUGUGAGAAGCCAAGCUACGGGGACAGGCCAUUGUAGGCACCUCAGUGGACAGUUGCUGCUGAGCUCCUGGCUGACAACCUUCAUCAACUCUCAGCCAUUAGAUUGACCAUGUCAUAUGUCCCUCCAAUUUGGGCCUUCAAAUGACUGGUCCCAGUCAUCAUCGGAUGGCAGCUAAAUGAAAGAUUCUGCUCUAUAUCCAGUGCUCAGAGUAGUGACAAAGUUGUCACAGGCUAACAGAAGCUCUUUUGUGACCCAAAAUAACAAAGGAACACUGCAGAGUCUCAAAUUGGAAAUGGAAAACAGAGAGAGACUUCUGUGAAUCUACUAAGGAAAAUUGAAUCUUGCAUCAAGAGAAUGUAAUUCUUCGCUGCACAGAGGAACAGGGAGGAACCAUUUAUGUUCUGAGGAACAAAAAGUCACUGAGUGUCUCCUACUUUCUACCAGUGUUUUCAUAUUGUACUGGAUAGAAAAUUUUUAAAAAAAUCUUCAUUGACCUGUUGAUAUAAGACACA